UAUUUACACAAAAUCGAUAAUUAAAAAUAGAAAAUAGCACAAACAAAUAAAAUAAAUAGGAACAAAAUACUGAAAAAUACGUGCAAAUUAAGGAAACAUUGAAGUUUAGUCGGAAUCAUUGAGUGAAAAAAGGUGUACCGGCUCAAGAUUUGGAGGCCAAUUUUUGAUUUGCAGUAAAUGCAAACAAAAAGUUUUUGUCGAAUGCAUAAAUUCACCAUAUGCGACAAAAUUAUUAAAGGGCUUAGGCCUGAUAAUAAUUGACGAAGAAAAAAAAAUAAAAUAUACAGGCGACCAAAAAAGCGUAAACAUACAUUCACUGUUUGAAGGCUGUUCACCAUUCAUAUACAAUUGUAAUGCAUGCGUCGAUGAGGAGAAACAACGAGAUAUCAAUGAAAAAUCCAAAUUGUCUAAAUUCGUUGGUGACAAAAUUAUUGAGGCAGUUCAAAAUGAACUGCAAUCAAUAAUUCAAAACAAUAAAUUCGGAAAUGUCGAAACAAAUGACAUCACAAUCAAUACAACGAACAAAAGCGAUGACAAUGAAUCCAAUGCAACCGAUGAAACUGUGAAACCAAUGGACAGCGAAAAACAAAAAAAAAA